CGCUUGCUCCUGGGUGACGAGCGGCGGACGGGUAAUGUCUGGGAAACUGCCUGAUGGAGGGGGAUAACUACUGGAAACGGUAGCUAAUACCGCAUAAUGUCGCAAGACCAAAGAGGGGGACCUUCGGGCCUCUUGCCAUCAGAUGUGCGCAGAUGGGAUUAGCUAGUAGGUGGGGUAACGGCUCACCUAUGCGACAAUCCCUAGCUGGUCUGAGAGGAUGACCAGCCACACUGGAAUGAGACACAGUCCAGACUCCUACGGGAGGCAGCAGUGGGGAAUAUUGCACAAUGGGCGCAAGCCUGAUGCAGCCAUGCCGCGUGUGUGAAGAAAGCCUUCGGGUUGUAAAGUACUUUCAGCGGGGAGGAAAGUGUUGAGGUUAAUAACCUCAGCGAUUGACGUUACCCGCAGAAAAAGCACCGGCUAACUCCGUGCCACCAGCCGCGGUAAUACGGAGGGUGCGAGCGUUAAUCGCAAUUACUGGGCGUAAAGCGCACGCAGGCGGUCUGUCAAGUCUGAUGUGAAAUCCCCGGGCUCUACCUGGGAACUGCAUUCGAAACUGGCAGGCUAGAGUCUUGUAGAGGGGGGUAGAAUUCCAGGUGUAGCGGUGAAAUGCGUAGAGAUCUGGAGGAAUACCGGUGGCGAAAGCGGCCCCCAUGGACAAAGACUGACGCUCACGUGCGAAAACGUGGGGGAGCAAACAGGAUUAUAUACCCUGGGUAGUCCACGCCGUAAACGAUGUCGACUUGGGAGGUAUGUGCCCCUUGAGGCGUGGCUUUCCGGAGCUAACGCGUUUAAAUCUACCCCCC
rnacentral:rRNA from 1 species